rnacentral:rRNA from 1 species
AUUGAACGCUGGCGGCAGGCCUAACACAUGCAAGUCGAGCGGAUGAAGGGAGCUUGCUCCUGGAUUCAGCGGCGGACGGGUGAGUAAUGCCUAGGAAUCUGCCUGGUAUUGGGGGAUAACGUCCGGAAACGGGCGCUAAUACCGCAUACGUCCUGAGGUAGAAAGUGGGGGAUCUUCGGACCUCACGCUAUCAGAUGAGCCUAGGUCGGAUUAGCUAGUUGGUGGGGUAAGGGCCUACCAAGGCGACGAUCCGUAACUGCUCUGAGAGGAUGAUCAGUCACACUGGAACUGAGACACGGUCCAGACUCCUACGGGAGGCAGCAGUAGGGAAUAUUGGACAAUGGGCGAAAGCCUGAUCCAGCCAUGCCGCGUGUGUGAAGAAGGUCUUCGGAUUGUAAAGCACUUUAAGUUGGGAGGAAGGGCAGUAAGUUAAUACCUUGCUGUUUUGACGUUACCAACAGAAUAAGCACCGGCUAACUUCGUG